CAUGCAAGUCGAACGGUAGCACAGAGAGCUUGCUCUCGGGUGACGAGUGGCGGACGGGUGAGUAAUGUCUGGGAAACUGCCUGAUGGAGGGGGAUAACUACUGGAAACGGUAGCUAAUACCGCAUAACGUCGCAAGACCAAAGAGGGGGACCUUCGGGCCUCUUGCCAUCAGAUGUGCCCAGAUGGGAUUAGCUAGUAGGUGGGGUAAUGGCUCACCUAGGCGACGAUCCCUAGCUGGUCUGAGAGGAUGACCAGCCACACUGGAACUGAGACACGGUCCAGACUCCUACGGGAGGCAGCAGUGGGGAAUAUUGCACAAUGGGCGCAAGCCUGAUGCAGCCAUGCCGCGUGUAUGAAGAAGGCCUUCGGGUUGUAAAGUACUUUCAGCGGGGAGGAAGGUGUUGUGGUUAAUAACCACAGCAAUUGACGUUACCCGCAGAAGAAGCACCGGCUAACUCCGUGCCAGCAGCCGCGGUAAUACGGAGGGUGCAAGCGUUAAUCGGAAUUACUGGGCGUAAAGCGCACGCAGGCGGUCUGUCAAGUCGGAUGUGAAAUCCCCGGGCUCAACCUGGGAACUGCAUUCGAAACUGGCAGGCUAGAGUCUUGUAGAGGGGGGUAGAAUUCCAGGUGUAGCGGUGAAAUGCGUAGAGAUCUGGAGGAAUACCGGUGGCGAAGGCGGCCCCCUGGACAAAGACUGACGCUCAGGUGCGAAAGCGUGGGGAGC
rnacentral:rRNA from 1 species